GUUGAUGGAGUCGGCUAUAGAAGGAUAAGAUAUGGUUCUUGCUACACUCAAUAUUAUGUUUCCAUGAUAGUUGGGUUUAUCAAAUUAAUUUUGGACUAUAAAAUAUAUAUUGUAUUAUGAAAUAUUAUUUUAUAGUGGAUGUCUAUAACUCCGAAAGAAGUUACUCUCACUACUCUUCUCCAUUAAGUAGAUAACUCCCACUACUUCUCACCAUUAUAGUUGUAACUCCCACACCUCCAUAACCUCUCUACAAUCUUUUCUCAUGAUCUCAAUAGUUAAUAUUAUGUUUAUAAUAUCCCUUGUAUACCUCAAUGUCAUCCUAUAAAUAGAGGAUUUGGAUAUUAAAUUGUAUACACUUGAAUACUUGAAAGAAAUAGAUUCUCCUAUCUCUUUCUCUCUACAUUGUUGUCUAUCUUUUUAAUUUAUAUUAUUACUUUGAGCUAAGUUUUGUAAUACGUUAUCAGCACGAGUCUCUAAACAAUUGAGAUCAGCAAACAUAGAAUCAGUAAUGUUGC
rnacentral:lncRNA from 1 species